UAAUUGCGUAUUAGCUAUGAAGCAAAAGAUCGUGAUUGAGGUUCCAUUGAAGUGCGAGAAAUGCAGAACAAAGGCCAUGAGCAUAGCUUCAGUGGCUAUAGGGGUUACAUCAGUGACGUUUGAUAGGAAAGAGAGAGAUAAAGUGGUGAUAGAAGGAGAAGGAGUUGAUGCAACGUUGCUCACCAAGUCUUUGAGGAAGAAGUUCAGCUAUGCCCACCUUAUCGGUGU